UGCAAGUCGAGCGGAUCGAUGGGAGCUUGCUCCCUGAGAUCAGCGGCGGACGGGUGAGUAACACGUGGGUAACCUGCCUGUAAGACUGGGAUAACUCCGGGAAACCGGGGCUAAUACCGGAUAAUUUAGUUCCUCGCAUGAGGAACUGUUGAAAGGUGGCUU
rnacentral:rRNA from 1 species